rnacentral:snRNA from 1 species
UUCUGAUUUUCAGUACGA